rnacentral:lncRNA from 1 species
UUUUUGUUUUUUUUUUUUGUUUUCUGUGUGGAAUGAGCUUUCAUGAAGCUGGCAUUAGGUGCUGGCUGCUGUGCUAUUCGAAUAAUGCCUAAUCUUCAACUCUUACCUUCUAAAUACUAUUUGUUAUUGGCUAAUUAUUUCAAGUUAAUCUUGAUGCCUUGUCUGACUGCCAAUUGGCCCAAAAUGGAGGUUGCUUUGUUUGGAAAGAAAGUUGCUUUCAUACUGCCUUUUCCUUCUAGGAAUAUUGCUGGAUCAUGGGGUUCAGAUGGUCAGUGCUUGUAGGAAAAUGCCAUAGCCUGCAUUGGCAUGUUGAUACAGGUAAUUUCCUGUUCCACAAUGUUUCUUUUUGUACAAAUAAUUUGGCAUUUUAGAAUUUCACAACUUUGAUGGACAUUUAAUUUCUACCACGCAUUGUUUUGUCCUAGCAAUUAUCAUUCUUUUGCUUUUCUCUUAGCUACUGGUUUUACCUUUUUUUUUAUUGGAAAAAAAAGAGGCACGGGUUGGGUGGGGUGUUUAGUUAUUAUAGAUUACGUAAACUGUGGAACUGCAGGUUCUUGUAUGGUUUGAUGUGGCCAUGUGGGCAUCAAGCCCUGUUUCAUGGGUUACUAAUGUGUCUGGGAAUAAGAAUUCCCCUUUUUUGGGGUCUGAUGAGAUUGAUAAUGUGGUAAUGUACUCAUUCCAGGUCUGCGAUUUGUUGAUUGCACAAGCAAUAUAGAAUGUGAUUUCUCCCCUUCCCCUUUAACUUUUUGGUAUUUGAUUUAUAAAGAUGCCAGGGUUGCCUACUUCACUAAGAUUUCUGAUCCUAAUUAUAUCUGUAUAGAUUUGGUACAGAUUUUUCUGAAUGUAGCAGCGACUACAUUGGGCAUUGCAUACUCACUGCAAAGUCCAAGCAACACUAGAAAAAAGAAAAUAGUAAAGAAGGAAGAAAAACACCCCACUAUAGGAUUGAGUAAUUGUGGUUAAUGUUUUAUCAAUUGAAAACUCUAAAGCUACAACGUUGGGAAUAUAGUCAAAGUGCAUAUAUGCUAUGGAGUGAGAAUGUAAGAUGGAACAGAAAGUUGGAAGUGGGAAAGAACAGAUUCUUAUAAAGUUUGUGUGCAAGUGGUUGAUUUGUGAGGUGGGAUUGUGCCGCUUCACAUGAACUGUCAUCAUUGAGUGGACGUUGGGAGCCCAUGUUAGAAAAAGAUAUUUGACUCUAAACAAGUCAAAUGUCACUUUGGUAGGAUGGUCUUCAAUCUUUACGUCUUGAUAUCUCCUCUUCUGCUGCUGUCAGUUCACUGUCAAAACUUGUAGCUCUUGCUUAAUAGCGUCAUCUUUCAUGUCCUGGCACAGCUUUUGUACGGUAGUGUUGGUUUCUAGCCUUGAUCUAAGUGGCUUCUUAAUCAAUUAGAUAUUUGAUCAAUAGAGUUCUAAUUUGUCAGGUAUUGAGGGGCAAAGUCUAUGCCCAAUUAUUGAUUUCAUUUUUGGUAUGAAGUGAUCAUUUCUCUUCUUUACACUAGAGCGAGACCAAGCUUUAUGUUUACUUGAGAUUCCAGAUUGUUUAAUUAUCAGCUUGGAUUCUUGAUGAGUUAUUUGUGCCAAGACUGCAAAUAAUUUUCCCUUUUGUUUAUUCGUGCCUAUAUGGCUUUAAAUGGGGGAAUGUUACAAGCUCAAAAAGAAGUUAAACAAAUUAUUAUCAUCAUGCCAUUUACUUGAACAAAUUUUAUUCAUUUACUUUUCCCCAUAUAUAGGGCUUCUGCCAUCUGCCAUUACCUCCUUUUUCCCUUUCAUAUGUAGUCUUAAAGCAUGAUGUACUAUUAAGAUAGUACAGAUAUUAUUAAUGGGAUCCUUUAGGACCAGACCCACCAUCCUAAUGAUUCUUCAUGCUGCUGCUGCUCCUCCGUGGCCGUGAACACAUUGGAGAAGUAACUCCGGCCAUCAUCACU